rnacentral:rRNA from 1 species
UACAGAGGUCUCAAGCGUUGUUCGGAUUCAUUGGGCGUAAAGGGUGUGUAGGUGGCGCCGUAAGUCGGGGUGUGAAAUUUCGGAGCUUAACUCCGAAACUGAAUUCGAUACUGCGGUGCUUGAGGACUGGAGAGGAGACUGGAAUUCAUGGUGUAGCAGUGAAAUGCGUAGAGAUCAUGGAGGAAGACCAGUGGCGAAGGCGGGUCUCUGGACAGUUCCUGACACUGAGACACGAAGG